rnacentral:rRNA from 1 species
GACGAACGCUGGCGGCGUGCUUAACACAUGCAAGUCGAGCGGUAAGGCCCUUUCGGGGGUACACGAGCGGCGAACGGGUGAGUAACACGUGGGUGACCUGCCCCUCAGCUCUGGGAUAAGCCCGGGAAACUGGGUCUAAUACCGGAUAUGACUCCAUGACGCAUGUUGUGGGGUGGAAAGCCUUGUGCGGCUGAGGAUGGGCUCGCGGCCCAUCAGCUUGUUGGUGGGGUGANGGCCUACCAAGGCGACGACGGGUAGCCGGCCUGAGAGGGCGACCGGCCACACUGGGACUGAGACACGGCCCAGACUCCUACGGGAGGCAGCAGUGGGGAAUCUUGCGCAAUAGGCGAAAGCCUGACGCAGCGACGCCGCGUGAGGGAUGACGGCCUGG